UGCAGCGUCCGAGUGGGGCAGGAUCCAGGCGCUGUGGGAUGCCUCAAGUGGAGCUCUAAGCCAGCAAAGCACUUGAAUCCUGGUGGUGUUCACCUCAGGACAAGUUUGGUAUUCACAGAGCGGCGUCAGCCCUGCGCAGAGCCCGGGUGGUGCUGAGUGUUGGGGAGAUCCUGCAGACCUGCUGCUUAAACCACACUGAUAAAGUCUCCAGGCCUCUUCCUCGGGGAGGAAGCUUUUCUCUUGUGUGACACAAUACCUCAGCUGGUGUUUGCACUGAGACCAAAGUGUGGGUCUGGACUCCCUGGAGACUGAAAUGAGGGAAUUUAUCAACAGAUAGCAGGGUCCCUGCUCCUCCCUGCUGUGGCUUGCUGUGCCUGGGGAUCUCCCUUGCUCCUCUGACAGCUACAGGUGUCCAUGGAGAUUCAGAUCUUACCUUUUCCAGGAGGUCAAUUUUGCUGUGUUAAGGCUUG